rnacentral:rRNA from 1 species
GACGAACGCUGGCGGCGUGCUUAACACAUGCAAGUCGAACGGAAAGGCCCUGCUUUUGUGGGGUGCUCGAGUGGCGAACGGGUGAGUAACACGUGAGUAACCUGCCCUUGACUUUGGGAUAACUUCAGGAAACUGGGGCUAAUACCGGAUAGGAGCUCCUGCUGCAUGGUGGGGGUUGGAAAGUUUCGGCGGUUGGGGAUGGACUCGCGGCUUAUCAGCUUGUUGGUGGGGUAGUCGAUUACCAAGGCUUUGACGGGUCGCCGGCCUGGGAGGGUGACCGGCCACAUGGGGACUGAGAUACGGCCCAGACUCCUACGGGAGGCAGCGGUGGGGAAUAUUGCACAAUGGGCGGGAGCCUGAGGCAGCAACGCCGCGUGCGGGAUGACGGCCUUCGGGUUGUAAACCGCUUUCGCCUGUGACGAAGCGUGAGUGACGGUAAUGAGUAAAGAAGCACCGGCUAACUACGUG